AUGUUUGCAUCUUUCCCACUUCAGACCAUCCCUUGGCCUUCUACGAAUCCGCGCAUACAAAUUCAACUCUUCGCUGACCCGAUGGUUGGCGCAGUGGCGCUGCAUCAUCCAAGCUUGCAGACCCCUGCCGCCACCGGAUUCAACAGCGAGCAGCUGCGACGACCCUGCCAUCGAUGGAUUCGAUGGCGAGGAGCUGCGCCCAGCACCCUCUGCAACCUAGCUCCAUCGCCCUUCUCGUGUACCAUCUUCAAAUCUGCUGCUGGGAGCCCGGGAGGACGGGACACAUCUGCACACAUCUGCAGCCGUCAACGUCGCAUGCCCUCUUCUCUGUCCCAGUUUCAGCAUUUUUUUAGUCUAUGUCGACAAGGUAUUCGAUCACAACCCAAGCAAGUCGCAGGUCUGUAUGUUUUUGCAGAAAUUUUUAAUCUACGUCAAAAGGAUAUUUUUCUAUUUGAUCACUCACCACCUCCUCUUACUUUAGUUACAGGUCACACAUGUGUUACACAGUCUCAUUGUCGACAAGAUAUUUUACAGGCUCCUAGCAAAUGA
rnacentral:rRNA from 1 species